AGAAUGAACAGUCGCAAUUGCACGUACCAGGACUGCGUUCGCUCGUCCUUGCUGAAACUCAAUCGGACUCAACCAACAGGUGUCGACGUGGCGCACUGGCACUUUGGAUAAAGUUCUAAAGCCCUGGCAACAUGACAUCCACUGCUACAUCGUUACUGACGCAUAAAAACCCGGGAAGGAGGCCUGACCCGCGCAAAAAUAC